UACGUAGGUGGCAAGCGUUGUCCGGAAUUAUUGGGCGUAAAGCGCGCGCAGGCGGUCCUUAAAGUCUGAUGUGAAAGCCCACGGCUCAACCGUGGAGGGUCAUUGGAAACUGGGGGACUUGAGUGCAGGAGAGAAGAGUGGAAUUCCACGUGUAGCGGUGAAAUGCGUAGAGAUGUGGAGGAACACCAGUGGCGAAGGCGACUCUUUGGCCUGUAACUGACGCUGAGGCGCGAAAGCGUGGGGAGCAAACAGG
rnacentral:rRNA from 1 species